rnacentral:rRNA from 1 species
UGAAUACGAGAUGCUACGGCGUCGAAGCAGUGUAUGUCAGACUUCCAAGAAAAGCUCGCAAUGUCAUAAAUAAAGAAUGCCUGUACCAUAACCGACACAGGUGGGUAGGUAGAGUAUACUAAGGGGCGCGAGAUAACUCUCUCUAAGGAACUCGGCAAAAUAACUCCGUAACUUCGGGAGAGGAGUGCCUUCUAUUAGAAGGUUGCAAUAACAAGAUCCAAGCAACUGUUUAUCAAAAACACAGGUCUCCGCUAAGUCGUAAGACGAUGUAUGGGGGCUGACGCCUGCCCAGUGCCAGAAGGUUAAAGAAGUUGGUUAGCUUUGGCGAAGCUGAUGACUGAAGCCCUGGUGAACGGCGGCCGUAACUAUAACGGUCCUAAGGUAGCGAAAUUCCUUGUCGGGUAAGUUCCGACCCGCACGAAAGGCGUAAUGAUUUGGAUACUGUCUCGGAGAGGGACUCGGUGAAAUAGACUUGUCUGUGAAGAUGCGGACUACCUGCACCAGGACAGAAAGACCCUAUGAAGCUUUACUGUAACUUGAAAUUGAAAUUGGACUUUAUUUGCGCAGCAUAGGUGGAAGGCGUUGAGAUUACUCUUGCGGGAGUACUGGAGCCAUCAGUGAGAUACCACUCCUAUAAUGUUAGAUUUCUAACUUUGGAUCAUGAUCUGGUCAAAGAACAGUUUCAGGCGGGCAGUUUGACUGGGGCGGUCGCCUCCCAAAUGGUAACGGAGGCGUACAAAGGUUUCCUCUGAACGGGUAGAAAUCGUAUCUAGAGUGUAAAGGCAUAAGGAAGCUUGACUGUGAGACCUACAAGUCGAGCAGGGACGAAAGUCGGUCUUAGUGAUCUGACGGUGCUGAGUGGAAAGGCCGUCACUCAACGGAUAAAAGUUACUCUAAGGAUAACAGGCUGAUCUCCCCCAAGAGUUCACAUCGACGGGGAGGUUUGGCACCUCGAUGUCGGCUCAUCGCAUCCUGGGGCGGUAGUACGUCCCAAGGGUUGGGCUGUUCGCCCAUGAAAGCGGUACGCGAGCUGGGUUCAGAACGUCGUGAGACAGUUCGGUCCAUAUCCGGUGUAGGCGUUAGAAUAUUGAGAGGAGCCUUCUUUAGUACGAGAGGACCGAGAAGGACAUACCUCUGGUGUACCAGUUAUCGUGCCAACGGUAAACGCUGGGUAGCUAUGUAUGGAGAGGAUAACCGCUGAAAGCAUCUAAGUGGGAAGCCCACCUCAAGAUGAGUAUUCUC